ensembl:lncRNA
AAGAACAGCCCAGGCAGCUGAGGCUUCUGAUAACAUCUGCCAGGUUCAGGCUAGGGUGAACUGACCUGAAGAGUGCCAUUUAGGAAGUCAACAGCAUCCAGGUCCACCCUCUAUUCCAAAGCUCUUCUCCCCUCCUCUCUCCCAGGAAGAAGGGACUGUGCAGCCUGCCAGGCUCCUCUGUCCAUGGAAUUUUCCAGGCAAGGCUACUGGAGUGGGCCAUUCCUGUCUCCAGGGGAUCUUCCCGACCCAGGGAUGGAACCUGUGUCUCCUGCAUUGGCAGGCAGAUGGAUUCUUUACCACUGAGCCACCAGGGUAGCCCAACACAGUGUUGGAGGACAAUCAUA